rnacentral:rRNA from 1 species
CCCUUAGAUGUUCUGGGCCGCACGCGUGCUACACUGAGUGGAUCAGCGGGUCAGGUUGCGCGAAAGUGUUUCCUAAUCUUUAAAUCCGCUCGUGAUGGGGAUUGACGGUUGCAAUUUACCGUCAUGAACGAGGAAUACCUUGUAAGCGCGGGUCAUCAUCCCGCGCUGAAUACGUCCCUGCCCUUUGUACACACCGCCCGUCGCUCCUACCGAUUGAGUGGUCCGGUGAGGCUUUGGGAUCUGAGCGGAAAGAGCGUUUCGCUGUUUCUGCCCGGAAAACUCAGUCGAACCUUAUCAUUUAGAGGAAGGAGAAGUCGUAACA